ACCAGGGUGACUGGAAUCAGAGGGCAGCCUGUUCUCCUUUGGCAAACAAACACCCACUCUGGUGAAUGUUGGACCCAAAGGCAGUACAACACUAGGAGUCACUGGCGUCCCCAGCACAAUGAAGAAAGAUGAACGGGUCUCAGAGAAUGUGGCUUUACUGACCCCAAAGAGAGGAUGUUCAGGAUAUUAUUUCUUCAGCAAGUGUGGAGUUGCCCUCUGUAAAAAUGCUCAACUCUAAAGCAGCACUUGGAAAUAAGCGAGAGGAGAGAUUUUUUUUCCUGCUACAACUGUCAACAUUGUGUUAGCCCUGUAAAAAGAAGAAAUAAUCCUAAAAGGAUAAGAAUUCCCUAAAUUAAUAUCUCAUUUUAUUGUCUUGGAUGUAGAACAUGACAUUUUCAAGGGGAUUGCCCUUUGAUUCUUAGUUCUGUGGUAUUGCAUAGACGUUAAAAAGUAUAGACACCAGGAUCUACAUCAUUUUCC